ensembl:snRNA U6 U6 spliceosomal RNA
AUGCUUGUUUCAGCAGCACAUAUGCUAAAAUUUGGAAUGAGACAAAGAAAAUUAACAUGGCCCCUGCACGGGGACCACUGGCAAAUUCACGAAGCGUUCUAUAUAUAU